UGGAAUUCGGUUUUAGAAUUUUUUUCACAUAUUUCAUUUCCGCUCUUCUGUGGCCAAAUAAAUUACUAAACAGCAAACUCUGUGGUGCAAGCCAAAAACAGAAAACAAAUAUAGUGAAUGGAUUGGCCACUCGGAUUCUUGUUGGAUUGUCGAAACUUAAAUACCCUAACAUAUAUAGGGUAUAAAAUAAAUCUUAAGCGUUCUGCAGCUUGUUAGCUGUCAAAUUAUGGAGCUCUUGCUGCAAGCCUGUGGACGAUGUAUGUAUGAAGACUAAUUAGCCCUGCUUCUAAUGAGCAUAUCGGAAAGAUCUUGGCAGCUUGGAAAACGAGGACACCAAGGAGUAUGUGCUCCAAAUGGCUUGAAUUGCAAAUCAUUUGAGUUCAUGUGAAUAAAAAGACGGGCAGCAAGACGGGCUGUAACAUUCCACAAAGCUCACAUAAACUCACAUCGCUUCGUGAACGAGUAUAGAAUUGGUAAAGAAGUUUAUAACAAUCAGAUUUUCCCUUCAUAGGUAUUAAAAUGUUGUUGAUUUUUCAAGUUACUUCAGCAGCUAUAAAAGCUAAACCUCAGCGAGUAUACACACCAUCCAGACUACCAUGCAGCAUAAUGUUGUGUCAUGUUCAGAAGAGGGCAUCGUUAAGCUGUGGUCACCAUGUGCCAAGGACACGCAUGUUGUGCGCAACCAGGUGGAUCACAUUGUGGUGGCCUACAAUAGUGCAGAGUGCCUGAUCGACGACAAUUAGAAGCUCGAAACUUGACUAGAAUAUUUGCAUUUCUGCUGUGUUUGUUGACAAAGUAAAAGUAGCACUUUGAAUUGUUGCAAAGUAUUUUAAAUUCCUUUCAAAAUUUAAUUAAAACUUCUACUUGGAAUAUAUGACAAAAGCACUGCCUAUAAGACACUCAGCACUAAUGUCAACUUCUAGAAAAUAUAGUAGUUCACUGAGUAAAGUCAGAGUGCAUUGGCUUGAUGCAAGUCAAGUCCAAUUGCUUACAUAAUUUUGUUGUGUAUAUUUAAAAAUUUAUAAAUAAUAUUUAUAAUUUACAAUUUAUGUGAAAACAUUUU